AUUAAUUACGUAAGCUACUUACGUGGGUAAAACUUACAGAUGUAAUCGCGGACUUACACAGAAGUGAAGUGUCUG